CAGGUUACAAGAGAUAUUUCAGGGAGGGACUAAUGAUGACGUCACUGAGACCUGCCAUGGCCUAAUACCUAAACAGUUUUCCUUACACUGAUCAGAUUUGGAGUGCCCUUUCCAGAUGGGAGGGUAGCGUUAUUGUCCUCUGCAACGCUCCACCAAGCAGCCGACUGACACAGAAGCAGAGGCACAGGGCUUGAUAUCAGAUGGAGCUCAGUGAGUCUCACUGAAAAGCUGAGGGAAGGACUGAGAGAGGCAGAGUUGCACAAUGGUCUUCACGUGGGGUCACUAACCCGUCGCCUGUCUGUGGAUCCUGUUCUCCUACCCGGGCUGCGUUUUCAAGAGCUGGUUGAUGGAUCUUUCUCUUUUCCUAAGAAAAGGCCACUCUGGUUCUCAACUCACUCUUGAAGCCGUGACAGGUCAUCUGCAGAUACAUCUUUUUUAGGAAUGAAUCCUUCGCACUGGAGACCAGAGAAGAGACCUGCAGUUGCAUUAUUAAUAAACAUCAAAGCAAAAUAUAAAAGUCUGAAUGGAAUAAAUAUUUUAGGACAGUGUUUUGCAAGCAAAUUCUUUCAUAGACAGUCUUUGAAGAGCUCUGAAAUUUUGCAUUUCAUAUUUGACUUUUCUGGGACUCUGACUAGAAUCAACUCACAACUGUUUGGGAUUUUCUUGGCAAUUAACCAGUUUGUGAACAGAGCUGAAUUUAUCAUAUGCUCUUCCAUCUACAUUAAUAUUGCUACAGUGAGGAACAACUAUGGUAAAACUCUUCAUCUGAUUUUUCAAACAGCAUCCUCAUACCAUGCGGACUUUUGUGCUUGUGGAGGGAAAGGUUGAGAACACCAUUUGAAAGUUGGAAAUGCUGAAGUGGGAAAGGCCUGUGUGUGGAUCAUACACAACUUCAGAAUAUCCAUUGUUUUAAUAUUCACUAGGAAGUGGACUUCUGCAAAAUGACUUCAGCAGAAAAUCAUGGUAGAAAAACGGUAAUUGAUUCACUGGAGAUAUAGAUGCACUGGAUUGUUCAACAUGGGCUUAGAGGUAGAGACAUGUGAGCACAUAAAGUAUGGAGAAUCAAUCCUGUGUGAUGUUAAGUUUCCCUACCCCAUGGUUCCAUGCAAACAGCAUUAUAUUUAAGCACUGAGGAAUUGAAUAAAAGUCAAUUUUUUGUAAAUCCAAGUCACAAAAAGUACUGUCCUCCUCCAUGAUGCACAUAAACUCUCAGGUGCACUGGCCUUCACAUGCCUGGAUGACAGCUGUCAGCAUGGGAUUUACUGCCAUCCUUUUCAUAACAGCAGAGCUCCAAUCUGCUUCAGCCACGUCAUCAGCGCCCCAUUCUGAUGGAGGGAGACUAGU